GAGGGGGUCGCGGCUGAUUAGCUAGUUGGUAGGGUAAUGGCCUACCAAGGCGAAGAUCGGUAUCCGGCCUGAGAGGGCGCACGGACACACUGGAACUGAAACACGGUCCAGACUCCUACGGGAGGCAGCAGUGGGGAAUUUUGCGCAAUGGGGGAAACCCUGACGCAGCAACGCCGCGUGGAGGAUGAAGUCCCUUGGGACGUAAACUCCUUUCGACCAAGACGAUAAUGACGGUACUGGUGGAAGAAGCACCGGCUAACUCUGUGCCAGCAGCCGCGGUAAUACAGAGGGUGCGAGCGUUGUUCGGAAUUAUUGGGCGUAAAGGGCGCGUAGGCGGCGCGACAAGUCACCUGUGAAAUCUCUGGGCUCAACUCAGAGCCUGCAGGCGAAACUGUCGUGCUGGAGUAUGGGAGAGGUGCGUGGAAUUCCCGGUGUAGCGGUGAAAUGCGUAGAUAUCGGGAGG
rnacentral:rRNA from 1 species